AGAGUUUGAUCCUGGCUCAGGACGAACGCUGGCGGCGCGCCUAACACAUGCAAGUCGAACGAGCGAGAGAGAGCUUGCUUUCUCGAGCGAGUGGCGAACGGGUGAGUAACGCGUGAGGAACCUGCCUCAAAGAGGGGGACAACAGUUGGAAACGACUGCUAAUACCGCAUAAGCCCACGGCUCGGCAUCGAGCAGAGGGAAAAGGAGCAAUCCGCUUUGAGAUGGCCUCGCGUCCGAUUAGCUAGUUGGUGAGGUAACGGCCCACCAAGGCGACGAUCGGUAGCCGGACUGAGAGGUUGAACGGCCACAUUGGGACUGAGACACGGCCCAGACUCCUACGGGAGGCAGCAGUGGGGAAUAUUGCACAAUGGGGGAAACCCUGAUGCAGCGACGCCGCGUGGAGGAAGAAGGUCUUCGGAUUGUAAACUCCUGUUGUUGAGGAAGAUAAUGACGGUACUCAACAAGGAAGUGACGGCUAACUACGUGCCAGCAGCCGCGGUAAAACGUAGGUCACAAGCGUUGUCCGGAAUUACUGGGUGUAAAGGGAGCGCAGGCGGGAAGACAAGUUGGAAGUGAAAUCUAUGGGCUCAACCCAUAAACUGCUUUCAAAACUGUUUUUCUUGAGUAGUGCAGAGGUAGGCGGAAUUCCCGGUGUAGCGGUGGAAUGCGUAGAUAUCGGGAGGAACACCAGUGGCGAAGGCGGCCUACUGGGCACCAACUGACGCUGAGGCUCGAAAGUGUGGGUAGCAAACAGGAUUAGAUACCCUGGUAGUCCACACCGUAAACGAUGAUUACUAGGUGUUGGAGGAUUGACCCCUUCAGUGCCGCAGUUAACACAAUAAGUAAUCCACCUGGGGAGUACGACCGCAAGGUUGAAACUCAAAGGAAUUGACGGGGGCCCGCACAAGCAGUGGAGUAUGUGGUUUAAUUCGACGCAACGCGAAGAACCUUACCAAGUCUUGACAUCCUGCGACGGACAUAGAAAUAUGUUUUUCCUUCGGGACGCAGAGACAGGUGGUGCAUGGUUGUCGUCAGCUCGUGUCGUGAGAUGUUGGGUUAAGUC
rnacentral:rRNA from 1 species